UACGUAGGGAGCGAGCGUUGUCCGGAAUUACUGGGCGUAAAGGGCGCGUAGGCGGUUAUUUAAGUCAGAUGUGAAAAACCGAGGCUCAACCUCGGCCUUGCAUUUGAAACUGGAUGACUUGAGGAUGAGAGAGGAAAGUGGAAUUCCUAGUGUAGCGGUGAAAUGCGUAGAUAUUAGGAGGAACACCAGUGGCGAAGGCGACUUUCUGGCUCAUACCUGACGCUGAGGCGCGAAAGCGUGGGGAGCAAACAGGAUUAGAUACCCGCGUA
rnacentral:rRNA from 1 species